rnacentral:rRNA from 1 species
GCAAGUCGAACGACAUAGUGGCAGACGGGUGAGUAACGCGUGGGAACGUACCUUUCGCUACGGAAUAGCUCUUGGAAACGAGUGGUAAUACCGUAUACGCCCUUCGGGGGAAAGAUUUAUCGGCGAAAGAUCGGCCCGCGUUAGAUUAGUUUGUUGGUGGGGUAAUGGCCUACCAAGACUACGAUCUAUAGCUGGUCUGAGAGGAUGAUCAGCCACACUGGGACUGAGACACGGCCCAGACUCCUACGGGAGGCAGCAGUGGGGAAUCUUGCACAAUGGGCGAAAGCCUGAUGCAGCCAUGCCGCGUGAAUGAUGAAGGCCUUAGGGUUGUAAAAUUCUUUCGCUAGGGAUGAUAAUGACAGUACCUAGUAAAGAAGCCCCGGCUAACUUCGUGCCAGCAGCCGCGGUAAUACGAAGGGGGCUAGCGUUGUUCGGAAUUACUGGGCGUAAAGCGCACGUAGGCGGACUUUUAAGUCAGAUGUGAAAUCCCGGGGCUCAACCUCGGAACUGCAUUUGAAACUGGAAGUCUGGAGUUCAGGAGAGGUUAGCGGAAUACCGAGUGUAGAGGUGAAAUUCGUAGAUAUUCGGUGGAACACCAGUGGCGAAGGCGGCUAACUGGACUGAUACUGACGCUGAGGUGCGAAAGUGUGGGGAGCAAACAGGAUUAGAUACCCUGGUAGUCCACACCGUAAACGAUGACAGCUAGUUGUUGGCAGGCAUGCCUGUCGGUGACGCAGCUAACGCAUUAAGCUGUCCGCCUGGGGAGUACGGCCGCAAGGUUAAAACUCA